rnacentral:lncRNA from 1 species
UCUUUCCACCUCAGUCUCCCUAGUAGCUGGGACCACAGGAGCCCAUCACUAUGCCCAGCUAACUUUUAUAUUUUUUGUUGAGACUGGGUUUUGCCAGGUCAGCCAGGUAGUCUCGAAUUCCUGGGCUCAAGUCAUCUUCCUGCCUCGGCCUCCCAAAGUGCUGGGAUUACGAUGUGAACCGUGGCAUCCGGCCAGUUCUUUCUUCAAUAAUGUUUGCCCAACAGAUCUACAAGGCAGUGCUGGGAAUAGCUCAUGCUCAAUAAAUACAGCUGCUGUCAUCGUCAUUACAGUGGCCGAUAAUCCGAAGUGGUAACUACCAAGUCUUGAUGUCACAAUGGGAGCUCUGUGGUUUGAAUGGGAUUACAAAGGAUGCGACCCUGGAACUAGAAGGUGGCAGGGGCACAGAAAGCAGAGUGGGAAGGACUUAAGGCUGACUGGGGACAUGGGAACCAAGGCCAGUACAGGGAAGAGGCCACCGCCAGGAGGCUGUGGCUGCAAUUGCUCUGAAAGAGGCGGGUGCGCAAGUUGGAGACUGCUGAGCUGUCCCCUUACCUUAGUCCAUGAAGACAACAGGCUACAGUGAAAGUAACAGUGAAGCCUGUAAUUGCUUACUAUGCUGGCGUAACCAAGAGGAGAAAACGCCACUCCCCUUAUGUUCCAUUUUUUUCCCCACAGGACAGCACCAGACGAGAUUUUGCCAUGUUGCUUGGGCUGGUCUCAAACUCCUGGGCUCAAGCGAUUCUCCCACCUCAGCUUCUCAAGUACCUUCAAUUACAGACAGGAGCCAUCUCAUCCAGCAAUUUCCUUUUUAUGUAUUCACAAUGUAUAGUAGAUGAUAAAAGCCUAUUUAAGUUCCAACCCAGGAUAUCACAUUGCAUUUUGUCAUCUCGCCUUGAUUUCUUCUGGUCUAUGACAGUUUCUGUCUUUCCCCAGAUUUUCUGUCUUUCCCCAGAUAUUCUGUCUUUCUCAAGCCAUGACCUUGAGUUUUGAGGAGUACUAGUGAAGUAUUUUGUGAAUGUCCC